rnacentral:rRNA from 1 species
UUUCACACUGUCAAGAAAAGCUUCUAUCGAGUUUAAAGGCGCCCGUACCGUAAACCGACACAGGUGGGUGAGGAGAGUAUCCUAAGGCCAGCGAGAGAACUAUUGUUAAGGAACUCGGCAAAAUGACCCCGUAACUUAGGGAGAAGGGGUGCCUGUCUAUGACAGGCCGCAGAGAAUAGGCCCAAGCGACUGUUUACCAAAAACACAGGUUUCUGCUAAGUCGCAAGACGAUGUAUAGGAGCUGACGCCUGCCCGGUGCUGGAAGGUUAAGGGGAUCUGUUAGAGCAAUCGAAGCAGUGAACUUAAGCCCCAGUAAACGGCGGCCGUAACCAUAACGGUCCUAAGGUAGCGAAAUUCCUUGUCGGGUAAGUUCCGACCCGCACGAAAGGCGUAACGAUUUGGGCACUGUCUCAACAAUAGACUCGGUGAAAUUGUAAUCCCGGUGAAGAUGCCGGGUACCUGCGACAGGACGGAAAGACCCCAUGGAGCUUUACUGUAGCUUGACGUUGGGUCUUGGUACUACAUGUACAGGAUAGGUGGGAGACUAUGAAGCAUGGACGCCAGUCUGUGUGGAGUCAUCCUUGGGAUACCACCCUUGUAGUACUGGGAUCCUAACCAUAGGCCUUGAAUCAGGUCUUGGAACACCGUCAGGUGGGCAGUUUGACUGGGGCGGUCGCCUCCUAAAAAGUAACGGAGGCGCUCAAAGGUUUCCUCAGCACGGUCGGAAAUCGUGCGAAGAGUGUAAAGGCAAAAGGAAGCUUGAUUGCAAGACAUACAGGUCGAGCAAGGACGAAAGUCGGACUUAGUGAUCCGGUGGUACCGCAUGGAAGGGCCAUCGCUCAACGGAUAAAAGCUACCCUGGGGAUAACAGGCUUAUCUCCCCCAAGAGUCCACAUCGACGGGGAGGUUUGGCACCUCGAUGUCGGCUCAUCACAUCCUGGGGCUGUAGUAGGUCCCAAGGGUUGGGCUGUUCGCCCAUUAAAGUGGUACGCGAUCUGGGUUCAGAACGUCGUGAGACAGUUCGGUCCCUAUCCGUCGCAGGCGUAGGAAAUUUGAGAAGACCUGUCCUUAGUACGAGAGGACCGGGAUGGACGUACCUCUGGUGUACCAGUUGUUCUGCCAAGGGCAUGGCUGGGUAGCUACGUACGGAAUGGAUAAGCGCUGAAAGCAUCUAAGCGCGAAGCCAACUUCAAGAUAAGAUUUCCCACCGUAAGGGUAAGACCCCAGGAAGACUACCUGGUUGAUAGGUCGAAGGUGUAAGUGCAGUAAUGUAUUUAGCUUAUCGAUACUAAUAGGUCGAGGACUUGACC